AUUGAACGCUGGCGGCAUGCCUUACACAUGCAAGUCGAACGGUAACAGGUCUUCGGAUGCUGACGAGUGGCGAACGGGUGAGUAAUACAUCGGAACGUGCCCGAGAGUGGGGGAUAACGAGGCGAAAGCUUUGCUAAUACCGCAUACGAUCUCAGGAUGAAAGCAGGGGGCCGCAAGGCCCUGCGCUCACGGAGCGGCCGAUGGCAGAUUAGGUAGUUGGUGGGAUAAAAGCUUACCAAGCCGACGAUCUGUAGCUGGUCUGAGAGGACGACCAGCCACACUGGGACUGAGACACGGCCCAGACUCCUACGGGAGGCAGCAGUGGGGAAUUUUGGACAAUGGGCGCAAGCCUGAUCCAGCCAUGCCGCGUGCAGGAUGAAGGCCUUCGGGUUGUAAACUGCUUUUGUACGGAACGAAAAGACUCUGGUUAAUACCUGGGGUCCAUGACGGUACCGUAAGAAUAAGCACCGGCUAACUACGUGCCAGCCGCCGCCGUAAAAC
rnacentral:rRNA from 1 species